AAGAAAGUAGUUUAAAUUAAAACGUCCGCUUUGGGGGUGGAGAAUGGGGCCUCCUCCUUUCUU
rnacentral:tRNA from 1 species